UACGUAGGGACCAAGCGUUGUUCGGAUUUACUGGGCGUAAAGGGCGCGUAGGCGGCGUGACAAGUCACUUGUGAAAUCUCCGGGCUUAACUCGGAACGGCCAAGUGAUACUGUCGUGCUAGAGUGCAGAAGGGGCAAUCGGAAUUCUUGGUGUAGCGGUGAAAUGCGUAGAUAUCAAGAGGAACACCUGAGGUGAAGACGGGUUGCUGGGCUGACACUGACGCUGACAGCGCGAAAGCUAGGGGGAGCAAACGGG
rnacentral:rRNA from 1 species